CAGCAGCCGCGGUAAUACGUAGGUGGCAAGCGUUGUCCGGAAUUAUUGGGCGUAAAGGGCUCGCAGGCGGUUUCUUAAGCCUGAUGUGAAAGCCCCCGGCUCAACCGGGGAGGGUCAUUGGAAACUGGGAAACUUGAGUGCAGAAGAGGAGAGUGGAAUUCCACGUGUAGCGGUGAAAUGCGUAGAGAUGUGGAGGAACACCAGUGGCGAAGGCGACUCUCUGGUCUGUAACUGACGCUGAGGAGCGAAAGCGUGGGGAGCGAACAGGAUUAGAGACCCCGGUAGUCCCUGUCUCUUAUAC
rnacentral:rRNA from 1 species